rnacentral:rRNA from 1 species
AUUGAACGCUGGCGGCAGGCUUAACACAUGCAAGUCGAACGAGUGGCGGAAGGGUGAGUAAUGCUUGGGAAUCUAGCUUAUGGAGGGAGAUAACUACUGGAAACGGUAGCUAAUACCGCAUACCAUCGGAUGUGCCCAGAUGGGAUUAGCUAGUAGGUGGGGUAAAGGCUCACCUAGGCGACGAUCACUAGCUGGUCUGAGAGGAUAACCAGCCACACUGGAACGGAGCCACGGUCCAGAUUCCUACGGGAGGCAGCAGUGGGGAAUAUUGCACAAUGGGCGCAAGCCUUAUGCAGCCAUGCCGCGUGUAUGAAGAAGGCCUUCGGGUUGUAAAGUACUUUCAGCGAGGAGGCGUUACUCGCAGAAGAAGCACCGGCUAACUCCGUGCCAGCAGCCGCGGUAAUAC